AGAGUUUGAUCAUGGCUCAGAACGAACGCUGGCGGCAUGCCUAACACAUGCAAGUCGAACGAAGGCUUCGGCCUUAGUGGCGCACGGGUGAGUAACACGUGGGAACCUGCCUCUUUGUUCGGAAUAACUGCGGGAAACUGCAGCUAAUACCGGAUACGCCCUACGGGGGAAAGAUUUAUCGCAGAGAGAGGGGCCCGCGUCCGAUUAGGUAGUUGGUGGGGUAACGGCCUACCAAGCCGACGAUCGGUAGCUGGUCUGAGAGGAUGAUCAGCCACACUGGGACUGAGACACGGCCCAGACUCCUACGGGAGGCAGCAGUGGGGAAUAUUGGACAAUGGGCGCAAGCCUGAUCCAGCAAUGCCGCGUGAAUGAUGAAGGCCUUAGGGUUGUAAAGUUCUUUCGGCGGGGACGAUGAUGACGGUACCCGCAGAAGAAGCCCCGGCUAACUUCGUGCCAGCAGCCGCGGUAAUACGAAGGGGGCUAGCGUUGUUCGGAAUUACUGGGCGUAAAGGGCGCGUAGGCGGCCACUCAAGUUAGGCGUGAAAGCCCUGGGCUCAACCUAGGAAUUGCGCUUGAUACUGUAUGGCUUGAGUUCGGGAGAGGUGAGUGGAAUUCCCAGUGUAGAGGUGAAAUUCGUAGAUAUUGGGAAGAACACCAGUGGCGAAGGCGGCUCACUGGACCGACACUGACGCUGAGGCGCGAAAGCGUGAGGAGCAAACAGGAUUAGAUACCCCCGUAGUCC
rnacentral:rRNA from 1 species